rnacentral:rRNA from 1 species
GUCGAGAAUAAUUCACAAUGGGGGAAACCCUGAUGGUGCAACGCCGCGUGGAGGAUGAAGGUCUUCGGAUUGUAAACUCCUGUCAUCUGGGAGUAAGACCUGACGGUGAAUAGUCGGCAGGGUUGAUAGUACCAGAAGAGGAAGGGACGGCUAACUUCGUGCCAGCAGCCGCGGUAAUACGAAGGUCCCAAGCGUUGUUCGGAAUCACUGGGCGUAAAGGGAGCGUAGGCGGCGUGGUAAGUCAGAUGUGAAAUCCCGGGGCUCAACCCCGGAACUGCAUCCGAGACUGCCAUGCUUGAGGGUUGGAGAGGUAGCUGGAAUUCUCGGUGUAGCAGUGAAAUGCGUGGAUAUCGAGAGGAACACUCGUGGCGAAGGCGAGCUACUGGACAACAUCUGACGCUGAGGCUCGAAGGCUAGGGGAGCAAAAGGGAUUAGAAACCCGUGUAGUCC